UGCGAGGUAGCACAGAGGAAGGGCGCAUGGCUCAUAACCAUGAGGUCGGUGGAUCGAAACCACCUCUCGCAA
rnacentral:tRNA from 1 species